GUGGGGAAUAUUGCACAAUGGGGGAAACCCUGAUGCAGCGACGCCGCGUGAGUGAAGAAGUAUUUCGGUACGUAAAGCUCUAUCAGCAAGGAAGAAAAUGACGGUACUUGACUAAGAAGCCCCGGCUAACUACGUGCCAGCAGCCGCGGUAAUACGUAGGGGGCAAGCGUUAUCCGGAUUUACUGGGUGUAAAGGGCGCGUAGACGGUAUGGUAAGUCAGAUGUGAAAGCCCGGGGCUCAACCCCGUGACUGCAUUGGAAACUAUCAGACUGGAGUGCAGGAGAGGUAAGUGGAAUUCCUAGUGUAGCGGUGAAAUGCGUAGAUAUUAGGAGGAACACCAGUGGCGAAGGCGGCUUACUGGACUGUAACUGACGUUGAGGCUCGAAAGCGUGGGGAGCAAACAGGAUUAGAAACCCCGGUAGUCC
rnacentral:rRNA from 1 species